rnacentral:rRNA from 1 species
ACUACGGGAGGCAACAGUAGGGAAUUUUGCGCAAUGGGCGAAAGCCUGACGCAGCAACGCCGCGUGAUCGAGACGCCCUUCGGGGUGUAAAGAUCUUUCAGUGGGGACGACACUUGACGGUACCCACAGAGGAAGCACCGGCUUACCCCUGGCCAGCAGCCGCGGUAUUACGGGGGGUGCAAGCGUUGUCCGGAAUAAUUGGGCGUAAAGAGUUCGUAGGCGGCGCGUGAAGUCUGGUGUUAAAGGCAGGGGCUAAACCUCUGUACUGCACGGGAUUCUUGAGGGCUAGAAUGCGGGAGAGGUAAAGGGAAUUCCGGGGGUAGCGGUGAAAUGCGUAGAUAUCAGGAGGAACACCGGUGGCGUAAGCGCUUUACUGGGCCGUAAUUGACGCUGAGGAACGAAAGCGAGGGUAGCAAAUAGGAUUAGAUACCCUUGUAGUC